GAUGAACGCUGGCGGCGUGCCUAAUACAUGCAAGUCGAACGCUGAAGGCGGAGCUUGCUCUUCUGGAUGAGUUGCGAACGGGUGAGUAACGCGUAGGUAACCUGCCUGGUAGCGGGGGAUAACUAUUGGAAACGAUAGCUAAUACCGCAUAACAACAGUUAUUGCAUGAUAACGGUUUAAAAGGGGCAACUGCUCCACUACCAGAUGGACCUGCGUUGUUUUUGCUAGUUGGUGUGGUAACGGCUCACCAAGGCGACGAGACAUAGCCGACCUGUGAGGGGGGGUGGCCAGACUGGGAGGGAGACAGGGCACAGUGGGCUUGGGGAGGGAGCAGGAGGGAAUCGGGGGCAAGGGGCGGAAGUCUGAGCGAGAAAGGCCGCGGGAGUGAAGAAGGGUGUCGGAUCGGAAAGGUCGGUUGUAAGAGAAGAAAGAGUGUGAGAGUGGAAAGUUCACACUGUGACGGUAUCUGAUCAGAAAGGGACGGCUAACUACGUG
rnacentral:rRNA from 1 species